GUUAUAAAUAAACAAAGUCGAUGUUAUUAAUUGAAAGAAGUUCUACCAUUGUUAUAUUCUUUAGUAAGAAAGGCUCUUUCUCACCCCAGGAUUAUUUUUCAAGUGAGUGACUAACUAAUGCGCAAAAGAACAUGUUGCCGGUAGUUGGAAGCAAUUUUAUAUCUUAAGCGCUUUGAAAUCGUUAGCGCAAGUGAAAAGAUGUUGAUGGCAACUUUCGUUAAGCAGUUAACAUCUGAUCUUGCGUGUGGAUGUGUGUGGUCUCGCAAAAUAUAAAUUAUGAUCAAAAGUGCAUUAAAUUUGAUCUUUUUGGCCAGUAAAUGGCAUAAAUUUGCGUGCUUACUCGAGGUGGUGCUGUUACUGUUAAGUUUAUAGCCUAAAUAGUAUUUUUGGAGCUUUAAUCAAACAUCAAACUCUCCAUAUGACGAAGAUAGGUGUUUGAUUAGAAAGAGUAUAUUUCCCCUACAAGGCAGAUGAGCAAAGAUAGAAAAUUCGAUGAAACUGGAUCGAUUUGGAUCAAACAGAGCUAUCUAAGCCCGAUCUCACGCACACUAGCUUGCCAUUUGUUUUUGCUGGCGGGUACAAAUUUUAACCUAAAAACCCUUCGUGUACAAACACGCAAUACAUGCGCAUGUAGAUAACUCUGAUAGAAACUCUGCAAAAUAUCAUAGAGUUAUCUACGUGCGCAUGUAUUGCGUGUACGUACACGAUGGAUUUCUAGGUUAAAAUUUGUACCCGCCAGCAAAAACAAAUGGUAAACUAGUGUGCGUGAGAUCGGGCUUAGAUAACUUGUAAUAACGAACUAGGGGGCAAUUACCACCACUAGUUCAUUAAUUAAAAAUUAAAUAAAAACCAGAACUUGAGACUCUUGGAGAUGAGAGAGAGAUGUAGAGAUCUGCAACUGCUCACAUUUGACGUGGGGAAGGAGAAUUGUACCUACCCUUUCACAAUCCUGGUUCGAUUCAGCUAAUCACACUGUCCUGGCAAAAAGAAUCACAAAAGAUCGUCGCUUUGGGUUAUGGAAAAGUCAUGUUUAUUGCAUUUAAUUGUCCUAAUUUAUUGUUUGUGUGUGUGUUCGUGUGUUCUAGUGUAUCCCGCGGUGGUCGAGUCAAGUCGGAGGUUCUUCCUCCGGCCAGGCCUGGCGCAGCAACGGUUUUGGUGUCUUUGGUUUUGUGUCUUUGUCUUGGAUAAAAAAAACCUGUACAGUGUUUAAGGCUUGUUUUAGUACUUGUGCUUUGUGUAACAGUGGUAACAAUGAACUCACCGGAUGGCCUUCGCCAUUGCGCUCUAACAAAUUCUCGGGUUGGCGCGCUCUGCCAACUUGGAGGUUCUGAGAAAGGAGUUCAUCUCUAAUAACUUGUUCUAGCUUUAACGUUUUGAUUUUGGAUAUUUACCACAUUUUUGUUACCUCCUUGCACCACCAACCAAACGACCACUGUUGACGUAGAGCGCGGUCCUUGACGGUUAGUUUGGAUGGUGCGGGUUGGGACCAACUCCCUGACACUACAAUUAACAAUUAAGACACUAAUUAGACACGACUCAAAAAUACAAGAACUAAAUUUACCAUUUCGCCGGCUACAGGAAUGCUGGGUACAAAUAACAGAUAUUCACAGCACUUUAAAUUACAAAACGUUCACAAUUUCUUCGUUUGACCAGAGUAUGUGUAACGGACUCUGGUCGGUAGCGGCAAAUGAGGACGAUUCAAAAUGACGAAGUCCCUUUUAUUAAUUUUAAGUCUUUGUUCUUGCGUAUUUCUAAAAUUGCUCAAAGAGAUGUGAGUCGUGCUAACCGUUUUAGGAAUAGGGAUACCAUGUUUUGUAUGUUGUUUAAGUGUAAUGGUUGAUUACAAUAUCCUAACUUGUCCCUACGGUUCAGUUUGACAGGAUGAUGCGAAGCAUUGUGACCAGAGAUUGUACUAUGUACAAGCGAUAGGUUACAAUUCCCCACCACCAGGGAAAAUGUGAGUUUUGCAGAAACUCCACAUUUUUCAAUCAUCAGUAGAAUCCCCUAGUUCUGGUAAAUUAUUUAGUUUUAUUGAUUAGUGGGCGCAUCUGUCAAAAAAUUCAAAGAACAACACGAAAUAAAUAACACAAAAAAUAAAUAAUAAAUAAAAUCUGUAAAGUGUAUAUGAAAAAAUUGUAAAUAAAAAAUCUGAAUAAAUAAAAAUUUCAAAAGUCAGCUUGUCAGAAUUGUUCAAAUUGGUCAGAAAUUAAUGUUGUCAAUUAUCACAGAAUUAUCACAGGGAAAUUUAUCAUUGGCUUAAAUUUGAGCCAUUUAUUUGUCACCCUUUAAAUUUUCAAUGAAUCAGAAGUGUUUGAUUUACAAACGAUACACUCAGUUGAAAAACAAAAGUAGGGUAAACAAACAAAAAUAAUCACAAGUAGUCUCAUCACAACCUCAAUUGAUUUCAAAAGUGCUAGAUAUCCAGCUUACCAUCAAUGAAGUCCAGAAUUGAGAAGUACUCGUUAUAUUAUUUAAAUUUUUACAAAGCAGUAGUCAUUUUUAGCAGAAAACCUCUGUGUACCGUCGUACUAGAGCAAAAGUUGCGUAAAAAUCAACUACAUAAAAUUUUGUUUAAAAAAUCGUUAUUGACCGGUCAGAAUUUUUCAAAAUAUUCAAAUUAUUCUAAGUCCUAAGAAUGACAGGAGCAUCUUUUGCAGCUUCCUAGCGGAGGUGCUGUCAAUCUCCGGAAGGGCUCUAAUUAGGGAAAUAUUCAACAAUUGACAAACUUUCCAAUUCUACAUUUCACAAACACUCAACAUUUUAUUCAUUCACACUGUCUCAUUCACUACAUUCCAUCCGAUUCUCCACGCGGGGGAGGGCACGGUUGACCAGGAAUUUAUUUCACGAAUUUAGCACUAUUCCGUCUGAACCGUCUAGCUCGACAGGAACAGCUGGUCAGGAAUUAUAAAAUAAUCACUUUAUUUCACACUUUACACUUAACAUUAAUUUUACUGUUCACUCACAUUUUUAAUUUUUUUUAACGUCACUAUUAAUUCCAUCUGAUUCUCCCAGCGAAGGAGGGAACAGUUGGCCAGGAAUUAUCGCGAUUCAAAAAAGAAAUUUCAUCCGAUUCGUCUGGUUCGACGGGUACGGUUGGCCAGAAAUUCUUUACAAAAAACUAAAAAUGAUUAAAAACAAUAAACACAAAUAACACUAAAAAAUAAAUAAACAUUUAAAUCAAAAAGAAAAUCAGGAUUUUCACUCCCUUACACAAAAAGAAAAAAAAAUAUAUUUUUUUUAUUAGUCCUUAGAACCACCCUCAAUCAAUUUUGUCAUCUUAUAUACACAAACAGAGUCCAAAAUAGACUAGAAGUACAUAAGACAACACAAAGGCUAUUGUUCUACAUCGUCAGCUCUGAUAAACAAAGAGCGACGAAAAAGCAAGGGGAAUUGAAAAUUGAAUCUGUUUGUUGUGCAAUAAAUUACAUUUCGUUUAAAAAAAAGGUUUUCAAAGUGCACAAAAACUUACCAAAUAUAAAUAACAAGGACAAAUAAUCAACCAACAGAAAUCCCGUGGGGUCUACAUCCACUCUGUUGUUGACUUAUUAUUUUUCUUUUUUUGUCACAGAUCUUCUUUUAAAUAAAAUAUCACUAUUUUUCACAUUUCUUUUCUUGUUUUUUUUUGUUUCACUAUUGCACUGUUUUUUUUUAUUUUCUUAUUAUUUUCACUAUUUUGUUUUCCGACCGAUAUUUUCAACUUUUUUUUUGAAAUUAGAGCAAUGUUGCUCUCGCGACGACCGAAUCUCGACUGAUCGUCGUAGACACAAAGUUCGGUGAUCGCGAAGUUUUUAUUAUUCUGUCUCUUUUACUCUUUAUUAAAUUCUACCGGUCUCUUUCUGUCUGCAGAGUCCGAGAACAGCUGGGCCGAUCCGGUUUUCAAACCUAUUGUGUGCCGUACCCAGACCGAUCGAUCAGGUCUGGAGGCAAUAAAAAUAGACAAAGACAAUGUUUAUGUUAAGAUUGAUUUUGAAAUGGUAUGUGUGAAGCGAACGAUGUACAAACAGAAAAGCAGAAAAAACAGAACUCAAUGAACAGAAACAACAUUUAAUCAUUGAACAUCUUAACUGCACACACAAAAAUGAAGUUUUUGACCAAUAUUUCUGCCAAACAGAUAGAAAUCUCGACUUUUUUUUGAUUAGGUCCUAUAAACAUAUGAAAGACAAUAGUUUAUUGGUCCUUUUCAAAAAAAAACUCUGAAAAUGCUUACUAAAUUUACGUUGGGCGCCAUUUGUAAUAACGAACUAGGGGGCAAUUACCACCACUAGUUCAUUAAUUAAAAAUUAAAUAAAAACCAGAACUUGAGACUCUUGGAGAUGAGAGAGAGAUGUAGAGAUCUGCAACUGCUCACAUUUGACGUGGGGAAGGAGAAUUGUACCUACCCUUUCACAAUCCUGGUUCGAUUCAGCUAAUCACACUGUCCUGGCAAAAAGAAUCACAAAAGAUCGUCGCUUUGGGUUAUGGAAAAGUCAUGUUUAUUGCAUUUAAUUGUCCUAAUUUAUUGUUUUUCGUCGUUUUAAAACUAACCUAACCAUGUGUGUGUGUGUUCGUGUGUUCUAGUGUAUCCCGCGGUGGUCGAGUCAAGUCGGAGGUUCUUCCUCCGGCCAGGCCUGGCGCAGCAACGGUUUUGGUGUCUUUGGUUUUGUGUCUUUGUCUUGGAUAAAAAAACCUGUACAGUGUUUAAGGCUUGUUUUAGUACUUGUGCUUUGUGUAACAGUGGUAACAAUGAACUCACCGGAUGGCCUUCGCCAUUGCGCUCUAACAGAUUCUCGGGUUGGCGCGCUCUGCCAACUUGGAGGUUCUGAGAAAAGAGUUCAUCUCUAAUAACUUGUUCUAGCUUUAACGUUUUGAUUUUGGAUAUUUACCACAUUUUUGUUACCUCCUUGCACCACCAACCAAACGACCACUGUUGACGUAGAGCGCGGUCCUUGACGGUUAGUUUGGAUGGUGCGGGUUGGGACCAACUCCCUGACACUACAAUUAACAAUUAAGACACUAAUUAGACACGACUCAAAAAUACAAGAACUAAAUUUACCAUUUCGCCGGCUACAGGAAUGCUGGGUACAAAUAACAGAUAUUCACAGCACUUUAAAUUACAAAACGUUCACAAUUUCUUCGUUUGACCAGAGUAUGUGUAACGGACUCUGGUCGGUAGCGGCAAAUGAGGACGAUUCAAAAUGACGAAGUCCCUUUUAUUAAUUUUAAGUCUUUGUUCUUGCGUAUUUCGAAAAUUGCUCAAAGAGAUGUGAGUCGUGCUAACCGUUUUAGGAAUAGGGAUACCAUGUUUUGUAUGUAGAAUCCCCUAGUUCUGGUAAAUUAUUUAGUUUGAUUGAUUAGUGGGCGCAUCUGUCAAAAAAUUCAAAGAACAACACGAAAUAAAUAACACAAAAAAUAAAUAAUAAAUAAAAUCUGUAAAGUGUAUAUGAAAAAAUUGUAAAUAAAAAAUCUGAAUAAAUAAAAAUUUCAAAAGUCAGCUUGUCAGAAUUGUUCAAAUUGGUCAGAAAUUAAUGUUGUCAAUUAUCACAGAAUUAUCACAGGGAAAUUUAUCAUUGUCUUAAAUUUGAGCCAUUUAUUUGUCACCCUUUAAAUUUUCAAUGAAUCAGAAGUGUUUGAUUUACAAACGAUACACUCAGUUGAAAAACAAAAGUAGGGUAAACAAACAAAAAUAAUCACAAGUAGUCUCAUCACAACCUCAAUUGAUUUCAAAAGUGCUAGAUAUCCAGCUUACCAUCAAUGAAGUCCAGAAUUGAGAAGUACUCGUUAUAUUAUUUAAAUUUUUACAAAGCAGUAGUCAUUUUUAGCAGAAAACCUCUGUGUACCGUCGUACUAGAGCAAAAGUUGCGUAAAAAUCAACUACAUAAAAUUUUGAUUAAAAAAUCGUUAUUGACCGGUCAGAAUUUUUCAAAAUAUUCAAAUUAUUCUAAGUCCUAAGAAUGACAGGAGCAUCUUUUGCAGCUUCCUAGCGGAGGUGCUGUCAAUCUCCGGAAGGGCUCUAAUUAGGGAAAUAUUCAACAAUUGACAAACUUUCCAAUUCUACAUUUCACAAACACUCAACAUUUUAUUCAUUCACACUGUCUCAUUCACUACAUUCCAUCCGAUUCUCCACGCGGGGGAGGGCACGGUUGACCAGGAAUUUAUUUCACGAAUUUAGCACUAUUCCGUCUGAACCGUCUAGCUCGACAGGAACAGCUGGUCAGGAAUUAUAAAAUAAUCACUUUAUUUCACACUUUACACUUAACAUUAAUUUUACUGUUCACUCACAUUUUUAAUUUUUUUUAACGUCACUAUUAAUUCCAUCUGAUUCUCCCAGCGAAGGAGGGAACAGUUGGCCAGGAAUUAUCGCGAUUCAAAAAAGAAAUUUCAUCCGAUUCGUCUGGUUCGACGGGUACGGUUGGCCAGAAAUUCUUUACAAAAAACUAAAAAUGAUUAAAAACAAUAAACACAAAUAACACUAAAAAAUAAAUAAACAUUUAAAUCAAAAAGAAAAUCAGGAUUUUCACUCCCCUACACAAAAAGAAAAAAAAAUAUAUUUUUUUAUUAGUCCUUAGAACCACCCUCAAUCAAUUUUGUCAUCUUAUAUACACAAACAGAGUCCAAAAUAGACUAGAAGUACAUAAGACAACACAAAGGCUAUUGUUCUACAUCGUCAGCUCUGAUAAACAAAGAGCGACGAAAAAGCAAGGGGAAUUGAAAAUUGAAUCUGUUUGCUGUGCAAUAAAUUACAUUUCGUUUAAAAAAAAGGUUUUCAAAGUGCACAAAAACUUACCAAAUAUAAAUAACAAGGACAAAUAAUCAACCAACAGAAAUCCCGUGGGGUCUACAUCCACUCUGUUGUUGACUUAUUAUUUUUCUUUUUUUGUCACAGAUCUUCUUUUAAAUAAAAUAUCACUAUUUUUCACAUUUCUUUUCUUGUUUUUUUUUGUUUCACUAUUGCACUGUUUUUUUUUUAUUUUCUUAUUAUUUUCACUAUUUUGUUUUCCGACCGAUAUUUUCAACUUUUUUUUGAAAUUAGAGCAAUGUUGCUCUCGCGACGACCGAAUCUCGACUGAUCGUCGUAGACACAAAGUUCGGUGAUCGCGAAGUUUUUAUUAUUCUGUCUCUUUUACUCUUUAUUAAAUUCUACCGGUCUCUUUCUGUCUGCAGAGUCCGAGAACAGCUGGGCCGAUCCGAUUUUCAAACCUAUUGUGUGCCGUACCCAGACCGAUCGAUCAGGUCUGGAGGCAAUAAAAAUAGACAAAGACAAUGUUUAUGUUAAGAUUGAUUUUGAAAUGGUAUGUGUGAAGCGAACGAUGUACAAACAGAAAAGCAGAAAAAACAGAACUCAAUGAACAGAAACAACAUUUAAUCAUUGAACAUCUUAACUGCACACACAAAAAUGAAGUUUUUGACCAAUAUUUCUGCCAAACAGAUAGAAAUCUCGACUUUUUUUUGAUUAGGUCCUAUAAACAUAUGAAAGACAAUAGUUUAUUGGUCCUUUUCAAAAAAAACUCUGGAAAGCUUACUAAAUUUACGUUGGGCGCCAUUUGUAAUAACGAACUAGGGGGCAAUUACCACCACUAGUUCAUUAAUUAAAAAUUAAAUAAAAACCAGAACUUGAGACUCUUGGAGAUGAGAGAGAGAUGUAGAGAUCUGCAACUGCUCACAUUUGACGUGGGGAAGGAGAAUUGUACCUACCCUUUCACAAUCCUGGUUCGAUUCAGCUAAUCACACUUGUCGUAACUCUGGCCCUAAUUUUCUUUUUUUGACUGCCUCGGAAGCGAACCUUCGUUUUGCUUUACGAUCCCACCACCCACCACAUAAAACACUUCCGCUCGCUUCAACACUAAACGCCAGACUAAAGUACCAUUUCCAAAUCCCGAUACCCGAAGGCCAAUCCCGACACAAUUCGUCCAUAAGCACACAAACACCUACAAAACUCUCUCAAUUUUCGCAACCACGCCACGCGUGAUCAACCCGAAGCUCAUCGACCUCAAUCUCACGCCACAUCAGCAGCUCUCGCUUUUUCGCUCUCUUCUUUUCCACUACCAACGUGCGCGUUGCGCAGACUUCAAUCUAUCCUGCCGACGCGCUCACACAUAUACAAUCGCACACGUGGCGCUGGCUCUCGCUUCGUGUGCAUUUUGUCUUGUCUUUCGUAGAAUCUAGAAACAUUCGAAUUUCGGCACUAACAUUUCGAAUGGCCACAGGCAAUAACUCUAAACAUUUUGCGCUCAUUUACAAAUUCUUGAAAUUCUAUCAGCAUUGCCCGCCCUAUCUGCGACAUUUUCCUUCUCCUGUACUCCGCUUCAUUCAAAACUUUGAAUUUUUAAGGAUAAAAAAGGUAAAUCAUAACCUUGUGCGAAAAUUUAACAUUUCACAAAUCAAAAAAAAUAUCCACAGUCGCAUUCAUUCAUUUUGCUUUCAACUGAUUGAAGUUCUCAAACCUAAUGAUCACUCUAUCACUCUCAAUCACAAUCUAAAAUUCUCCCUAGAAUUUAAUCAAAGGCUCAAACGUAAGUCGUGUAGGGUUUCAGGCUACCGUUUCUUAAAUCAUUGCUCACAACUGAUUGAAAUUCUCAAUCCCAACGAUUUUUCUCGCUCGAAAUCAACAUCUUAAAUUCUCCCUAGAAUACAAUCAAAGGCUCAAACGUAAGUCGUGUAGGGUUUCAGGCUACCGUUUCUUAAAUCAUUGCUCACAACUGAUUGAAAUUCUCAAUCCCAACGAUUUUUCUCGCUCGAAAUCAACUUCUUAAAUUCUCCCUAGAAUACAAUCAAAGGCUCAAACGUAAGUCGUGUAGAGUUUCAGGCUACCGUUUCUUAAAUCAUUGCUCACAACUGAUUGACAUUCUCAAUCCCAACGAUUUUUCUCGCUCGAAAUCAACUUCUUAAAUUCUCCCUAGAAUACAAUCAAAGGCUCAAACGUAAGUCGUGUAGAGUUUCAGGCUACCGUUUCUUAAAUCAUUGCUCACAACUGAUUGAAAUUCUCAAUCCCAACGCUCGUCUCACAAAAUUCCCGUCGUGCCUAACGAGCAAUGCUCGUCUCACGAACUACUGUCUUAGUGGCCAGCGAGCAACGCUCGUCUCACAAAUUUUAAAACUCAGUGGCCAACGAGCAACGCUCGUCUCACGAACCUCUGUCUAAUUGGCCAACGAGCAACGCUCGUCUCACGAACCUCUGUCUAAUUGGCCAACGAGCAACGCUCGUCUCACAAAUUCUAAAUCUCAGUGGCCAACGAACAACGCUCGUCUCACGAACCUCUGUCUAAUUGGCCAACGAGCAAGGCUUGUCUCACGAACCUCUGUCUAAUUGACCAACGAGCAAGGUUUGUCUCACAAGUUACCUGUGUUAGUGGCCAACGAGCAACGCUCGCCUCACAAAUUUCUGUCUAAGUGGCCAACGAGCAUGGCUCGUCUCACAAGUUACCUGUCUUAGUGGCCAACGAGCAACGCUCGUUUCACAAAUUUCCCGUCUCGCUAGUCUCAGAUGCCAACGAGAAAAUCUUGUCUUACAAAUUUCCCGUCAUAGUGGCAAAUGCUUGGCACAUCGUUUAUUUUUGUUCUGUCCAACAUUACUUUACAAUAUUACAUGUUUCGUGUUAAGUGUUCAACCAACAAUUAUAACCUUUGCAUUUUGCUUAUAAUUUCAUUUAAUAAGCCUAGCGUAUUCCAUUAUGUUAUGUAGUGACUCACUUCAAAUUUCACUCAGAAAUCAUACUAUUUAAAUGUUAGCUCUAAAGCCAACGAUAUCGAAUCGAUGAUGACCACAACAAAAAGUCGAAUUGUAUCUCAUUUUAUUUUGAACAAUUCUACAAUUCUCAUUUAGUUUCACGAACAAAUCCAUAAUAAAAUUCAAUUACAAUAGUGCAACGACCUCAAAUUUAAAUCAUUAAAUUUGUCCAUUUUUCGAACCUCACCACAGUUCUGACCAUGCGCGCUUACGCAAGCAUAAAUAAUUUUACCCGUCGACUCGCGUUGCGCGACAAAUAAUUAAGCUUAUGUACAGGUGUGGAUCAUGAGUCAUCCUCACCUGAAAAGCCCUUUAUUAAAUUUCGCCAAUUGUUA